rnacentral:rRNA from 1 species
AACGAACGCUGGCGGCAGGCUUAACACAUGCAAGCCGAGCGCCCCGCAAGGGGAGCGGCAGACGGGUGAGUAACGCGUGGGAACGUACCCUUUGCUACGGAAUAGCUCCGGGAAACUGGAAUUAAUACCGUAUGUGCCCUACGGGGGAAAGAUUUAUCGGCAAAGGAUCGGCCCGCGUCUGAUUAGCUAGUUGGUGAGGUAAUGGCUCACCAAGGCGACGAUCAGUAGCUGGUCUGAGAGGAUGACCAGCCACAUUGGGACUGAGACACGGCCCAAACUCCUACGGGAGGCAGCAGUGGGGAAUCUUGCGCAAUGGGCGAAAGCCUGACGCAGCCAUGCCGCGUGAAUGAUGAAGGUCUUAGGAUUGUAAAAUUCUUUUACCAGGGACGAUAAUGACGGUACCUGGAGAAAAAGCCCCGGCUAACUUCGUGCCAGCCGCCGCAGUAAGAC